AGUGAACGCUGGCGGUAGGCCUAACACAUGCAAGUCGAACGGCAGCACAGUAAGAGCUUGCUCUUACGGGUGGCGAGUGGCGGACGGGUGAGGAAUACAUCGGAAUCUACUUUUUCGUGGGGGAUAACGUAGGGAAACUUACGCUAAUACCGCAUACGACCUACGGGUGAAAGCAGGGGAUCUUCGGACCUUGCGCGAUUGAAUGAGCCGAUGUCGGAUCAGCUAGUUGGCGGGGUAAAGGCCCACCAAGGCGACGAUCCGUAGCUGGUCUGAGAGGAUGAUCAGCCACACUGGAACUGAGACACGGUCCAGACUCCUACGGGAGGCAGCAGUGGGGAAUAUUCGACAAUGGGCGCAAGCCUGAUCCAGCCAUACCGCGUGGGUGAAGAAGGCCUUCGGGUUGUAAAGCCCUUUUGUUGGGAAAGAAAAGCAGCAGGUUAAUACCCCGCUGUUCUGACGGUACCCAAAGAAUAAGCACCGGCUAACUUCGUG
rnacentral:rRNA from 1 species